rnacentral:rRNA from 1 species
CGGAGGCAGCAGUGAGGAAUCUUCCGCAAUGGACGAAAGUCUGACGGAGCAACGCCGCGUGAGUGAUGAAGGCCUUCGGGUCGUAAAACUCUGUUGUUAGGGAAGAACAAGUAUCGGAGUAACUGCCGGUACCUUGACGGUACCUAACCAGAAAGCCACGGCUAACUACGUGCCAGCAGCCGCGGUAAUACGUAGGUGGCAAGCGUUGUCCGGAAUUAUUGGGCGUAAAGCGCGCGCAGGCGGUCCUUUAAGUCUGAUGUGAAAUCUCGCGGCUCAACCGCGAGCGGCCAUUGGAAACUGGGGGACUUGAGUGCAGAAGAGGAAAGCGGAAUUCCACGUGUAGCGGUGAAAUGCGUAGAGAUGUGGAGGAACACCAGUGGCGAAGGCGGCUUUCUGGUCUGUAACUGACGCUGAGGCGCGAAAGCGUGGGGAGCAAACAGGAUUAGAUACCCUGGUAGA